rnacentral:pre_miRNA from 1 species
AAUAUAUGACGCCGUUGAUUUUUUCUCACAUGUUUGACCAUUCGUCUUAUUCAAAAAAAUUACAUAAUUAUAAUCUAUUUUGUUAUAAGUUGUUUUAUCACUCAUAGUACUUUAAGUGUGAUUUAUAUCUUAUACAUUUGCAUAAAUUUUUUGAAUAAAACGAAUGGUCAAACAUGUGAGAAACAGUCAACGGCGUCAUCUAUU